rnacentral:rRNA from 1 species
AUUGAACGCUGGCGGCAGGCCUAACACAUGCAAGUCGAGCGGAGCGGCGGACGGGUGAGUAAUGCAUAGGAAUCUGCAUGGUAGUGGGGGAUAACGUCCGGAAACGGGCGCUAAUACCGCAUACUAUCAGAUGAGCCUCGGUCGGAUUAGCUAGUGGGUGGGGUAAAGGCAUACUCAGGCGACGAUCCGUAACUGGACUGAGAGGAUGAUCAGUCACACUGGAACUGAGACACGGUCCAGACUCCUACGGGAGGCAGCAGUGGGGAAUAUUGGACAAUGGGCGAAAGCCUGAUCCAGCCAUGCCGCGUGUGUGAAGAAGGCCUUCGGGUUGUAAAGCCCUUUUGUUGGGAAAGCGGUACCCAAAGAAUAAGCACCGGCUAACUUCGUGCCAGCAGCCGCGGUAAUAC